UACGUAAGGGGCUAGCGUUGUCCGGAUUUAUUGGGCGUAAAGAGCGUGUAGGCGGCCAGGUAGGUCUGGUGUGAAAACUCGAGGCUUAACCUCGAGAUGUCAUCGGAAACCAUUUGGCUAGAGUCCGGAAGAGGAGAGUGGAAUUCCUGGUGUAGCGGUGAAAUGCGCAGAUAUCAGGAAGAACACCGAUGGCGAAAGCAGCUCUCUGGGACGGUACUGACGCUGAGACGCGAAAGCGUGGGGAGCGAACAGG
rnacentral:rRNA from 1 species